rnacentral:rRNA from 1 species
GACGAACGCUGGCGGCGUGCCUAAUACAUGCAAGUAGAACGCUGAAGAGAGGAGCUUGCUCUUCUUGGAUGAGUUGCGAACGGGUGAGUAACGCGUAGGUAACCUGCCUUGUAGCGGGGGAUAACUAUUGGAAACGAUAGCUAAUACCGCAUAACAAUGGAUGACACAUGUCAUUUAUUUGAAAGGGGCAAUUGCUCCACUACAAGAUGGACCUGCGUUGUAUUAGCUAGUAGGUGAGGUAACGGCUCACCUAGGCGACGAUACAUAGCCGACCUGAGAGGGUGAUCGGCCACACUGGGACUGAGACACGGCCCAGACUCCUACGGGAGGCAGCAGUAGGGAAUCUUCGGCAAUGGGGGCAACCCUGACCGAGCAACGCCGCGUGAGUGAAGAAGGUUUUCGGAUCGUAAAGCUCUGUUGUAAGUCAAGAACGAGUGUGAGAGUGGAAAGUUUACACUGUGACAGUAGCUUACCAGAAAGGGACGGCUAACUACGUG